ensembl:lncRNA
CUCUGGGAUGCGGAGCUGUCGUUAAUUAAUCCAGCGUAAUGUCGGAUAGUAUGUAGAAACACCGAUGCUUCUUAUAAGAGCUGUACGUGAAAAUGCAGAUUCAAUCCCGGAUCAUGUUUAUUUUCUGAAUCAGGAAAACUGGUCGUUCUCCACAAACUCACCUCGGACGUAACCCGCGGAAAUGCUUGUAUUCUCUACAGAGGUGGUACAAUAGCACUUUUUCUUUCCGAUACUGAUGCUGACAUUGAAACCUUGAGGAUCCUUUGAUAUCGAUACUCAUGUGUGGAUAUCGAUACUCGUCAGUUGAUGUUGAUACUCAUGUGUGGAUAUCGAUACUCGUGUUGAUAUUGAUACUCGUCAGUUGAUAUCGAUACUCAUGUGUGGAUAUCGGUACUCGUCAGUUGAUAUCGAUACUCGUCAGUUGAUAUCGAUACUCGUCAGUUGAUAUCGAUACUCAUUUGUUGUUUUUUUGCCAAUAAAAACGACCACGCUUUAAAAAGUGUAAAUGAGCAGCUUUUACAAAACCACAGCUUUGUUGAUUCAGUGAAGGACUUUCACAGAAAAAUCACCAACAUGGCAAAUAUAAUAAUGUGUAUUAUACUUAUAAAUCUAUAAUAAAAUCAAUUCUGUUUACGUUACAAUUUGUAUUUGUUGCAGGAUCAGAUAGAAUUCAUUGGGGUUUUUUUUCCCUCUGAUAUCCGUUCCAUUGUUUUGGUUUAGUUUUUUUUGUUUGUUUGUUUGUUUUGGUAUCCUGGGUAUCGGAUCGGUGCCAUCUGCAGUUCAGCGACAUUAUGGGAAAGUCCCCGUGAAGCGCCUUGAAACACACAGCAUGAUUCGACGUGUUGACGUAAUUCCCACCGAAACAGGAAGUCAGGGCAGGACCUAUCGAGUGGCUCCUCCCCCCUUUUUAAGGGAGGUAGAGAAAGACUGUAGAUUUAGAAUGUAUAUAUUUUCUAAAUGUGAACGUCGUCAUUGUUUCGCCGCUUACAGACAGCCUUAAGGUCGAACAUCCUCACGCUAAAAGGCCGAAAAAUCUCGAUUUUGAUUUCACGGGGACUUUAAACCCGCCAUUUCUUUGGUUUUCGGAUGGAAUUGAGGUUGUUAUAAUUGACAUUUCGUGCUCAUCAAUAUUCCAAGCGCAAGGCUGCAAUAGAGGAGAGCGCGACACGGAAUGAAAGACGGAGGAAAAAAUAGUAAAGCACACAAAGAGCGGGAAAAAAAAUAAACGACAGUAAGAGCACCGACAACAACUUUCUACCGCGGGAGAUUGAAAAGAAAAUGAAAGACAAAUACACGCUGCGGGCGUUAAUAAUUAAAGACGAGUUGAAUUAAGGAUGAUAUUAAGGAUAUGAAGUGGAAGAAGCAUGACCAGGGAGUCCUGAAAUGAUUUUUAUUCCAUUUCAUAACAACGGAUACUGUUUGUAUGCUAAUGCUGCAUGUUAGCGUGGAGGAAACUUUGGAGACAUACCAAUAUAUGACAAAAAAAGAUUCAUAAUCAAUGAAUUCAAAUCAUAAUCAGUGCUCAGUCGUAAGGUUUAUUCUAUUGUGAUGAGGUCAUAUUGGCGCUCUGGCUUCUUAAAUACCAGAGUGUAAUGUAUAAAGGAUUCUCAGCACAUGUGUAUGUAUGAGAUCUGUAACUUUAUUGUAGCUAUUGAGCGUUUGCUCUGCACAGCUACUGGUAAAUAAAUUCUCUCAAACUCAACUCUCUCUCU